rnacentral:lncRNA from 1 species
AGGGGGAAAGGAGGGGCUCCCGCCGCUCGCUCGCCUCACGAGCUCGGCGGCGGGGCUGCGAGGAGGGAGAGGGCUGAGGAGGAGGAGGAGGCGGCCUUCGCCGGGCCUGCGUUUAGGAGGCUGGGGCCUAGCGGGACGGUCGGCCAGCCGUGUAGGGUCCGAGAAGGGAAAAGCCUCGGCUGCUCGGAGGGGGUGGCUGUGGGCUGCUCAGCGGCGCCGGUGGGCGGAGGGAGGGCGCGGCGCUGACAAGCUCUCCUCCCCCUUAUAUAUACAGUAUACAGUAUAUAUAUAGAUAGGGGAAGGGGUUGCUCGGGAGCCCCCUGGAAGUCUCGCCCCUCUCCCUCUCGGCGCCCCUUUCCCGCUCUUCACACUUGAAUUUCUUCUGUAUUUUUUUCCCUUCCAAGUCGCACCUUUUCCUCUCCGGAUUCAUGUGCUGACCGCUCGUUUCUUUUGCCUUCCUCUUCUUCCUCCUCCUCACCACCACCUUCUAUUUCUGGGCUUCCUGAGGGCAUCUGCUUGGCCGCUGUGUGUGGGGAGAGAGAGAGAGUUAGGGUGGGAACGAGAUGGGGGGCCUUUGGUCCGAUCCGUCAGGGCUGGUCUUAUAUUCCUGGAAGUCAGUGUGCCUGUUCGGAUCUGCACUGUGCACAGAAGUCCAUGUGGGGAGGAGGAGGAGGAAAAGGAAAGGAUCUGUGGCAGUCACUCCUCUGUUUGUGCAAAAUGGCAUUAAAAAAAACAGGCAAUCUCCAACAUAUAAAUAAUCCCCCUGGAACUAAAGCCAAAAGUACACUGCUCCUGGAUCAAUUAAAGGAAAAGCAUGAAAUAUUUGUGGUUAACUUUGAAGACAAGCAACAGCAGUUAGGUCACCGUACUGCAGUAUGUUCUUUUAUUUAACUGUCAUGGAAUAUGAAUUGUCAUAGAAAGUACAGCUAUUACACCAGUCAUAAUUUGUAUUGAAUGUUACAACUUCAGAGAAAGUUGGAUUUAUCCAUUUUCAGCAGUUAACUCUAAAGUAAAAGACACAAUUCUUACCAACAAAAAGUUACUGUAAAGGAUAUUUGCUAUUUGGAGCAAUCUCUGUGAAAGCCAUUGCUAAUAUUUAAACUGUUUAUAUAAUUUUAAUGUGGCAAUGUACACAGACUCUGACCUAAAAAUACUGUCUUUACUGGCUUAAUAUGAAUGCAAGGAAUGAGAAAUUAAUAAGCAAAUAGAAAUUGUAGACUCCUUACGUGUACCAGAGAUACCUGGUGUGGUGUAGUGGGUUGAGUAACAGACCAGGACUCAAGAGGCCUGGGUUCCAGUCCUUGCUCAGCCAUGGAAAAUCAUUUGGGGGGGGGGGGUUGGAACUCGUAAAAUAUGCACAUAGGUAAUUUGUGUAACUUGCUGUGGGAACUUAGUGUUGACUAAUAAGGUGUUGGUUGUAUGCCUAAGCAUUGCCUUUUGCAUAAUUAGUUGUAUCUCACAGUGCAACUGUUCAUCAUUAUUUAGCAGCAGUUCACCACUGUGAUUUAUGCUAUGUAACUUUCACAUGAGCUAUGUAACUUGCACAUCAGUGUACCCAGUGUGGUGCAGUGGACAGAGUGACAGACUAGGACAGGGGUCAGGGAACUUUUUUACCUUUUACCCCCCAAAAAAUUUAUAUACGUUGACAUUACCACCC